ACCACUGCUUUGCAAAUGCAUUGCAGAGUAAGGCAAAGGCAGUGUAUUACUUUGCAGAAGGAAUCCUUUGCAGAGCCAUGAAUCGAUCCUACUGAGAUGCUGACCUUCAGUUUGCUGAGACAUAAACCAGGAAGAGUAAUGGAUCUACAGGAGAAACACAAACUACAUUAGUUUUAUUUAUUUUUUUCCAAGUGACAGAGUUCAUAGAUAUCAUUCACUUCCACCUUCAGGAUACACAGAAAGUCCUUGCCAGGUAGACAGCUGCAGAAGCUGAGCACUCACUUACUAAAAAGCACCCAAGAGAGAUGCUUUCAGCCCCUUUGAGACGUUCCAUCCCCAGUGACAUGUUGCAUUCCCAAGCUAAGUGUAAAAACAUUUGUGAAUCUCAAGCCAGACACUGUAUUUCUAGGUUGACUAGAUAGAUAGGUGAACUGUGGUUCAUCAUGCAAUGGAUUACAUGCCAGAGAAUGGUUUACAUACAAGCAAGUAUGCUAAGGUAAAAACUCAAGAGAACAAAUAUGCACAGAAAGUCAAAGCAAUUCUGUUAGCUUUGCAGUGAUUCUGUCUCAAGGCCCCUUUCGUGGGACUAAAAAAAAUGGUAGACUGCUGAAAUUCCAGUGUCUGGGCACCUACAUGUAGCUCUGACCUUGGCCUCCUUUCUUCAGCUUGAUAGUAAAGAGAUUUGGUAACACCCAAUAUGAUCUGUACCAGAUUCUUCAAUAUGCAGCCACUCAACUCAACUGUGAGGCACCCUGGGCAGAGCCAAAAAAAACGUCAGCCCCAAAGUUCUUGCAGAGCUUCUUGAAGUGAUAAAAUGAAACCUUGCUUCAGUAAGUGUGAAAACCGUCAAUUAAGUUACAGCUCUGAGGAUUGUGCCUCUCCUCUACUGAGAUCAGGAGCUCAGGUGGGUCUAGGGUUUGAACGUAUAGGGGUUAAAUAAGGUAGCUUUAGAAACUAGGGGAGGAGGAGGACAUCUCAACAUUUCCUGGUCAGCUGUGCAAAUGCAAAGAAAGGAACAAUACAAAAUGAACGGCUUUGACUGCUUUGAAUGCACCGUAAAAAGGUCACACGGAGGAAGAUGUCGAGCCUUUGCAAGGAAGACUUCUGACUUCAUCCCCACGACUACCAGAGGGAGACCCCUACUACAGACAACGCAUGCACCAGGGGAGGGGUAGUAUGUAAAUGAGUUCCUGGAAGGAUAAUGAAUAUGUAAAUGGAUUCCAAGAAUUCUGCUGAAUAUGUAUGGCCUUGGCUUACAGAUUUGUAGAGCUUUUGCUUGCUGGUUUGGUGGAGUGAUCCCUUUUGCACCCGACUGAUUGCGCAAUCAUUGAAUAAAUCAUACCUGCUUUAUAAC
ensembl:lncRNA